UUGGGGAGGUCCCAGCACGAGGGCGCAACACCAUAUAUCAAAUCCUUUCAGCUCUUGGCGAUGUCGUGGUCAUAUAGCCUACGACUGGGCAAUAACAUCAGCAAGUCCGUUUACAGAGAAUGGAUAUUUUGAGGACUGUCGCUCAGACUGGGAAACAUCGCAUUUAUCCACGAAAAGAAGCUUAGGAGAAUCACUGGCACCGUGGCACGAGUGCUACACUGUUGCGUUUUUCUUAUUUAGGAGAAAACAACAUUUCAAGUUAUUUUGAAAGAAAAUGGUGCAAUUCGUCCCCAAGGAUAUUCUUUCUAAAUUUGGGGAUUGUGCAAUACCAGCGCCACUGAUCAAAAAGAGGGGCGGUGGUGGUGUGAUGAGCAGCAGCGAACUUCAACUUCGCACACAUCUCCAAUCUCUCCCAUACACUCCUCAUCAAGCGAGGGUUUUGCGCGAAGUCAUCUUGCUGUCCAAGGGAUGCGGACGAGACAUCACGGAUCCUACCGUGUUGCGUGUUUAUGCCGAACAUGUUUGUGACAUUGGAGAAUAUCAGGUUCAGGCAGUCUAGAGGCCUUGUGAUCCGACUGAGCCCCGGCUUUGUGGGAUACUCUAGGACGCCAGCAUUAAGAUAACGAGACAGUCACGAGUGGUUUACCAGAUGGCUUCCAUGGAGUUUCUCAACCUCCACCAAAUAGGGAAUUGCCAUUGACAGCAAGUAAACAGCCAGAACACCAACUGCCGCCAACGUAAACAUCUUAAGGUAGCAAGCGUCUCUGCUACAUUCAAAACCACGGCUGCAGUUGUCAGGUAAAAGCAACAUCCUCCUUACACUACCUCUCAAACGCUUUCACAACCCAGACUCAACUCUUAUAAUCUCUAUCCCAAAUGUUGAAUUAACGUUGAAUGAAUGUAUUCACUGUAUACAUAUUAUCUGUAUAGGCUGGGUUAAAGGUCAUAAAGCAUCCAAUGACGGGUGGAAAUGAAGACCACACAGCUUGAAGAGAUCAGGUUGAAGAGGGAGGACAUAUUUAACUUAUGGGUCAUAGGUCAAACUCUCCCCCUUUCCAUCUCCCCCGCUCUCUUUCACUCUCUAUCAAGGCAUGAGGCGAGACCCAGAUGCAGGCACAGGAGGCAGAUGGUUGGAGUCUUACAAUGUUUAAUAAUCCAAAGGGGUAGGCAAGAAAAUGGACGUGGACAGGACACAAAGUAAAAACCAGGAGUCCAGGAGGUACAGAGUGGCAUACAGGCUUGUGGUCAAGGCAGGCAGAAUGGUCAGGCAGGCGGGUACAGAGUCCAGAAACAGGCAAGGGUCAAAACCAGGAGGACUAGAAAAAGGA